rnacentral:rRNA from 1 species
UACGAACGCUGGCGGCGUGCCUAAUACAUGCAAGUCGAGCGGAAUGAUGAAGAAGCUUGCUUCUUCUGAUUUUAGCGGCGGACGGGUGAGUAACUCGUGGGCAACCUACCUUGUAGAUUGGGAUAACUCCGGGAAACCGGGCUAAUACCGAAUAAUCCAUUUUGCUUCAUGGCGAGAUGUUAAAAGGCGGCUUCGGCUGUCACUACGAGAUGGGCCCGCGGCGCAUUAGCUAGUUGGUAGGGUAAUAGCCUACCAAGGCGACGAUGCGUAGCCGACCUGAGAGGGUGAUCGGCCACACUGGGACUGAGACACGGCCCAGACUCCUACGGGAGGCAGCAGUAGGGAAUCUUCCACAAUGGACGAAAGUCUGAUGGAGCAACGCCGCGUGAGUGAAGAAGGUUUUCGGAUCGUAAAACUCUGUUGUAAGGGAAGAACACGUACGAGAGUAACUGCUCGUACCUUGACGGUACCUUAUUAGAAAGCCACGGCUAACUACGUGCCAGCAGCCG